AGUGAACGCUGGCGGUAGGCCUAACACAUGCAAGUCGAACGGCAGCACAGUAAGAGCUUGCUCUUACGGGUGGCGAGUGGCGGACGGGUGAGGAAUACAUCGGAAUCUACUUUUUCGUGGGGGAUAACGUAGGGAAACUUACGCUAAUACCGCAUACGACCUACGGGUGAAAGCAGGGGAUCUUCGGACCUUGCGCGAUUGAAUGAGCCGAUGUCGGAUUAGCUAGUUGGCGGGGUAAAGGCCCACCAAGGCGACGAUCCGUAGCUGGUCUGAGAGGAUGAACAGCCAGACUGGAACUGAGACACGGUCCAGACUCCUACGGGAGGAAGCAGUGGGGAAUAUUAGACAAUGGGCGCAAGCCUGAUCCAGCCAUACCGCGUGGGUGAAGAAGGCCUUCGGGUUGUAAAGCCCUUUUGUUGGGAAAGAAAAGCAGCAGGUUAAUACCCCGCUGUUCUGACGGUACCCAAAGAAUAAGCACCGGCUAACUUCGUG
rnacentral:rRNA from 1 species